rnacentral:snRNA from 1 species
AUCGCUUCUCGGCCUUUUGGCUAAGAUCAAGUGUAGUAUCUGUUCUUAUCAGUUUAAAGAUAAAUAUUUGUGAGUCUCAUCAACUCAGUAGCUAAACCCAAGAGCCCAU